rnacentral:misc_RNA from 1 species
GAAAUGCGAUAAGUAAUGUGAAUUGCAGAAUUCAGUGAAUCAUCGAAUCUUCGAACGCACAUUGCACCUACCAGUAUUCUGGUAGGUAUGCCUGUUCGAGCGUCAUUUCAACCCUCAAGCCCUGCUUGGUGUUGGAGCACUACGCCUCGCGCGUAUGCUCUCAAGACUAGUGGCGGACCUUCUGUGAUCCCGAGCGUAGUAGCAUUACCGCUUUGGAGAGCCGGAGGGCCCUAGCCGUUAAACCCCUUUAAAUCUCAAGGUUGACCUCGGAUCAGGUAGGAAUACCCGCUGAACUUAA